UCCCUGGUAGUAUAUCGGUUAGUACACGCGCCUGUCAUAUCGCUGGUGGUCUCCAAACCGCGCGAAAGCUGGGUUCGACUCCCAGCCAGGGAG